CCCGGCGACCAUAGGCUCUUGGCCAUACCCGUUCCCAUCCCGAAUACGGUCGUAAAACGAGAGCUGCCGAUGAUAUUGCAUUUGCGAGAAAGUAGGUAUUGCCGGGU
rnacentral:rRNA from 1 species